rnacentral:lncRNA from 1 species
AAGGUUUGAGCCACUGAAUUCUUCUUUCCCUCCAUUGGAUGACAUGUUUUGCAUAGAAAUAAAUUUCCCUGUUUUAGUGUUGAUUUUGUACCUCCUUCAUUUUCUUCUUUUAUGGUUUGCCUCCUGCAAGGAAACAUGGCAAUGUCUCUUACCUCUUACCAUAGAAGCAAGCCAAGUCUAAGCUUCUUCCCUUGGUCUCCUCAAGUAAAAGUCUCAUGCAUACUUUGGUUUGGACUUCAAGCAUAGCCAUUAACACUGCUGUUCUUAAGAUUAUAGAGUGUGCAUAUAUCCUCGUUUUUCAUUUACUAGUAUGGUUUUUUUCCUUUCAUUUGCUUUAUUUUCUUCAUAUUUGCUUUACUGUUUGUAACUUAAAUGCAAAUUCGAAACUUAAUAAAUUAUGUUCAACAAAUGCAGUCAUAUAUACUUCACUUUUGAUUUCAAACAGAGCCAUUAUUAUCAUUGCUGUUCUUGAGAUUACCAACUGUACACAUAUCCUCAUUUUCAUUGACACUGUGUUCUUAUCUUCUUCCUAUUUGCAUUAUGGUUUUUGACUUCAAAACUCUCUAGUUACAUUUUAUAAAAAUGUAACAGGUAAAUAAGGAGAUUGUGAAGAUCCAGAGAGUGACUGCCCCUGUGGGGCAGAUGCAGCUAAAGAGCCUGAUUGAAGCCCAUGUUGUAAGUACACUUAGUUCUUCAUAUUUGACAAUAGUCCCUUAAGGAGGCCAAGAAAGUGUUUUUGAAAACAGCUUUGAAAAAUUGUUUUUGUGAACUGUUCUUUAAUAUUUAGUAAAACAGGAAUUUGAAAUGUGUUUGACCUGUUUUCUAUGUUUUUUAAUAUUUUUUUAAAAUAACUUUUAUCAGUAUUGUUUUAUUUUCAAUCAUUUUCCAUAUUUGUAUAAUUAUUUUUUAAAACAACAUUAAAAAAUAGAUGAAAACAAUUGAAACCAAUUAAAAUAUGUUCUCAAAAAUCACAAUGUUUUAUGUUUUUAAGAACAAAAAACUAUUUUCCAUUUUCUGAUUACCAAACAUUUUUCAUUUUUUUGUUCUUAAAAACCAAAAACUGUUUUUAAAAAUAGCUUCCAAACAUGCCUUAAGCCUUUUCUAAGCAUAUACCCUUAUCUGCGGCACUCUUGAGCAUAUAUACCAUAUUGAUGUACACUUCUGAGUCAUUAUAUUUAAUGUGUGAAGGAAAAAACUGGAAGCAGCAAAGGCUCAGCUAUUUUGAAGGAGUGGGAUACAUACCUGCCUCUCUUCUGGCAACUGGUUCCUCCCAGUGAGGAAGACACCCCAGAAGCUAGCGCAGAGUUUGAGAGAACCGAUGCUAGCCAGGUGACGUUGCAGUCAGCUUAAUACGAUAAUAAGACAAUACCCUGCAGCCAGUGACAUGAUUUCAAAAGUUGCACUGCAUGGAAACAUGUGAGAACUGGGAAGAUGGAUAUUCUUCAGCUGGAAAAUACAGGUUAAAUAAUGGGGAUAUGGCGAAAUGGCUCAAAUCACAGGGUUACAAAAAUUGUUAAAGAUAAUUUUCAUUGCCUUCAGUUGGAGACCCUGAUUUGUUCAUAUGGAAAAGCAUUUGCAUUCCCACUCCAGUUGUGUAUAGAACAGCUGCUAGAAACUGUAAAUCUUUUAGGAACUUUCAUGGAAAUUCCUCACUGUUCCAUUCGUUAAAGUAAAAAAAAAAAAAAAAAAAUUGCUGGAUGGCCAUUUGAACUAUUGUUCUUCCAUUGAUUGCUGUAUUCAGGGAGAAGUUUGAUCAAUGAAUCCCUUCAAAUAUGGGAUUUGGAAUCAAAUAAUGGCAUAUUUUGCAUGGUAACUCUUUUCAUGCCCAGGUGUACGUACCCGAUACAGUGGCAUUCUUGUUAUUUUAUGAGGAGACAAUACCUAAAUGUAAAUUACCAAUGAAUGCUUAAAUGUCCCAAAUUUUUAUUCAGACGUUAUUGUAUUUGGAGAGAACAAAGAGCUGCAUAGUUACUAAAGAAAUAAUUUACUGAUGCAUCUUGGAAUUUGGAAGUCGGACUAUUUAACUAGCUUGGGUUCAAUCUCGAGCAGCCACAAGAUCUCAGCUGGCCGAAGCCUAGCUGGAAACAAUCCAAUACACCAUUCGACUCGCUCAUUGCAGCUCUGCUCCUAUUCUAAUGAAAUAAUCACGGUGUUUGUAUUUGAUAUUUCAUGUAAAUUUUCUUUCUUUUUUUUAUUAUUUCCAUUUUUUUUCAAAUAUAGAUAUGUUUCAUCAACCUUGAAAUUGAUUAGUUUACCUAACCUUCGCAGAAAGAAUUAUAGCAUUUUGUAGAUGGUCUUAACCAUUUUCGACUACUUCUUUAAGAGUCGUUGUUCAAGCAAUGUGUAAUGGUAUUAAACUAAUUAGUUUAAGUUGAUAAUUUUAUUUUAAAUAUUAUUGAAUUCGACCUUACAUACUCAAAACUUUUAAGUUGAGAGUUGAAGAUGCCUGAUCCAUGUUGAUUUAUUCUAAGGAUUAUUUAGGUAAAUGGGGUUAAGUUGUUCUAAUGAUACUGUGGACUUGGAAAUCUCUUGAAGCGAUCGUCUUAAUGAACAAAGGUGUAGGUACACAUAAUAAUAUAUAAAUAAAACUUAACUUAAUAAUGCAAAGCACUCAUCUUAUUCAAGGGAAGUCAUCCAUAAAAUUAUUCAAAGGAAGUCAUCCAUAAAAUCAUCCAAAUAUUGACGAUGAUGAUAACAUGGAAAGAAAAUCAUCACACUAAAAAAUCAUAACAUAUUGGUGAUUAUGACUAGUCCAAAUUUCACUUAUGUUUCAAUGUUGGCAUGGCUCAAAAUUUGAAAUUUUAUUAAAAUAUUGUAUGAUAUUCUUGAAAUUUCAAACCUUGGACCAUGUUAAUAUUUUAUAACUUUUGUGGAUCAACUACUAGAAUUUUGGAUAUAUCCCUAUUUUUUUUUUUUUCAAAAUUGAAAAAAUAUAUAUUUUUUUAUACAAAUAAUUGAGACUUGUUUAUCUAUAUCAUAGACAAAACUAUAACCUCUUUAAAACAUUUUCUACCUAAAAAGCUCCUCCUAAAAUAUUUACAUUCCCUAACAAACCAAAAAGUCCCUCCAAAAACCGAUGAUGUCAUUUCAAUUUAUAACAACUCAAUUUCCCUUGUAUCUCAAUCAUGUCUUCUUAAUUAAUAUGAUUCAUUCCCCCUUAAUAAUGAUUACUAUUUUGUGUUGUCUUUUUGGACCCUUAAAUUUCUGUAUCUCUAGUUUCUUCAUGCAAGAGAAAAAUGGUUUCCAUCUCCCAUUUGUAAGGUACAAACCUAUAAAUUCUCAACUCCCAAAUCGUAUUAAUUUUUUUCAAUAUCAUUAUUUUUCUUGUUUUAAAAAAGCAAUAUGAUUUAAAAUAAAAAAAUAAAAAUUCCCUACCUUAAAUUUCAAAUUUUCAAAACAACUAUGCAAUCAUAUUGUUAGGAAAAUCCAUUAGCAAUUAAUUGAGUUUUGUACCGUUUAAUCGAAAUAUCAAAUACCAAGUAUCAAUUUUAUACAAAGUUGAAAAUUUCUCAAUCAUUGCUUGGAAGACGUCAAGAAGAACGUAGGAGAUGAGAAUUCACAAUCUCAUAAGAUGUUAAAGUAGCCAUAAAAGGAGAAAAAUGAGCAAGAGAAUCAAAAACCAAAGUUUCAAUUUUUGCAUAAAAACUACUUGCAUCAUCCAAAAAAUGAUCAAUGCAGACAAGUUCAAACUAAGAGAUAUUAUGAAACUAGUAGAAAUAGGAAAGGUACAUGUUCAAAGAAGUAGUAGAAGAUGAAAAACUACAACUAUCAAGAAAAGAGAGAAGACAACACAAAACUAAACCAUCAAGGAUAAAAGUUGAUAUAAAACUAUCAAGAAAGAGAGAUAAAAAAGGACACGAAAUCAUAGAAAUAAGACAGAUAGACAAAACUUAGAUUUAGAUUCAAAAAAUAAAGACUAAUAGAAUUUAGAUUCAUAUUAUUUCCAUUUUUUUUAAAUAUAAAUAUGUUUCAUCAACCUUAUGAUAUGAUGAAAUUGAUUAGUUUACCCAACCUUCGUAAAAAGAACUAUAGCAUUUUGUAGAUGGUCUUAAUUAUUUUCGACUGCUUCUUUAAGAGUCGUUGUUUAAUGUGUUACAGUAUUAAACUAAUUAGUUUAAGUCGAUAAUUUUAUUCUAAUGUGUUACGAUAUUAAACUGAUUAGUUUAAGUUGAAUUUUUUUUUCUAAAUAUUAUUGAAUUCGACCUUACAUACUUAAAACUUUUAAGUUAAGAGUUGAAGAUAUGAGAUCCAUAUUGAUUUAUUCUAAGGAUUAUUUAGGUAAAUAUGGUUAAGUUGUUUUAAUGAUAAUGAUAUUGUGGACUUGGAAAUCUUUUGAAAUCUUUUGAAGCGUUCGUCUUAAUGAACAAAGGUGUAGGUACACAUAAUAAUAUAUAAAUAAAACUUAAUUUAAUAAUGCAAAGCACUCAUCUUACUCAAGAGAAGUCAUCCAUAAAAUCAUCCAAAUAUUGACGAUGAUGAUCAAAUGGAAAGAAAAUCAUCACACUAAAAAAUCAUAACAUAUUGGUGAUUAUGACUAGUCCAAAUUUCACUUAUGUUUCAAUGUUGGCAUGGCUCAAAACUUGAAAUUUUAUUAAAAUAUUGUAUGAUAUUCUUGAAAUUUCAAACCUUGGACCAUGUUAAUAUUUUAAAACUUUUGUGGAUCAACUACUAGAAUUUUGGAUAUAACCCUAUUUUUUUAUUUUCAAAAUUGGAAAAAUAAUUUUUUUUAUUCAAAUAAUUGAGACUUGUUUAUCUAUAUUAUAGACAAAACCAUAACCUCUUUAAAACAUUUUCUACCUAAAAAGCUCCUCCUAAAAAAAUUACAUUCCCUAAUAAUCCAAAAGGUCCCUCCAAAAACCGAUGAUGUCAUUUCAAUUUAUAACAACUCAAUUUCCCUUGUAUCUCAAUCUAGUCUUCUUAAUCAAUAUGAUUCAUUCCCCCUUAAUAAUGACUACUAUUUUGUGUUGUCUUUUUGGACCCUUAACUCUCUGCGCCUCUAGUUUCUUCAUGCAAAAGAAAAAUGGUUACCAUCUCCCAAUUGUAAGGUACAACCUAUAAAUCUCAACUCCCAAAUAAUAUUUUUUUUUUUUCAAUAUCAUUAUUUUUCUUGUUUCAAAAAGCAAUAUGAUUUUAAAAAAUAAAAAUAAAAAUUCCCUACCUUAAAUUUCAAUAUUUUUAACCAUUUUAUAUGUUAAAUAUUCCAAUAGGAAAUUUUCUUGUAAGAGUUGUUCCCUUUGUUUCGAUCAUUGAUCACGCCUAGAGUCUUUGCUGCCUUGUGAUUUUCUAUAGCUUUACAAAAUACUAGUGCCUAAAUCACCACACAUCUUAAGCCUAUCCCCUAUAUUUGGGUCCCGAGAAUACUUUUUAAAAAAUAUUUACUUUUAUUUAAUUUAUUCUAAAAAAAAUCAAAUACAAUUAAAUUUAACUAAAAAUUAUAAUAUGAAAAUCCAAAUACAAUUAAUUUUUGUUGAAAUCCAAAAAAGAUUCAAAGAGAACAAAAGAUAAAAAUAAAAUAAAAUAAAAUAAUCUAUGAUUUCUUAUUAUGAAUUAUUUUUAAAAAAAGUACAACAUCAUUGGAAUUUAAAUAAAUCUAAUAAAGGGAAAUAAAUAUUAAUUUACCCUUACUUCUUAAAAAAAAUUAAUAUAGUAACUAAAUAAAUAAGAAAUAUAGUAACUAAAUAAAUAACACAAGAAGCAUCAAGAGUUUGUCAACCAAAAAUCGAAAACGUGGAAGUAGGUAUGACUUAGUAAACAACUCUACAAUCAUAUUGUUAAGAAAAUUUCUUAGCAAGUAAUCAAGUUUUGUACUAUUUAAUCGAAAUACCAAAUACUAAGUCUCAGUUUUAUGCAAAGUUGAAAAUUUCUCAAUUAUUGCUUGGAAUAUGUCGAGAAGAACGUAGGAGACGAGAAUUGAAAGAUAUUAAGAGGAGUAAUUGUUGAAUUAUUGAUAUGUGUUGAUUAAACACAUUGAAUGGGGUUUAUAUAUCAUAAACAUCCCAAACGAUUACAAAAAAUAUCCCACAAAACGUGGUCAAGUUAGUUACAAUGAAAACAAAUAUUUGAAUACAUUAGAAAUAAUAUGUUACAACAAAAAACUAAUAGCUAAAGAAUAGCUCCUAUGAUUGGGUUUGAAUACGCCCCCGCAAGAUGGCAAUUCCAUCUGAAAUGCCAAUCUUGGAGCGAAGAAAAAGGAACCGACCUUUGGAGAAAGGUUUAGUAAGGACAUCAGCCAACUGGGAGUGAGUGUUAAUAUGAGCAACUUUAAGAGAACCAUCAACAACUUUUUCCCGAACAAAAUGGUAAUCCAACGCGAUGUGCUUCAUUCGACUGUGGAAUAGCGAAUUUACACACAAAUAUGUGGCAAUUAAAUUAUCACAAUAAAUAGUAGGAAAUUGUUGAAGAGUGAUACCAAGCUCAGAACGAAGAUGAGAAACCCAAGUGACUUUAGCAGCGAUAGAAGCGACGGCCCGAUACUCGGCCUCUGUUGAAGAAUGAGCUACCGUCUUCUGUUUCUUUGAACACCAAGAGAUUGGAUUGCCACCAAGAAAAAGAACAAAAACAGUGGUAGACUUGUAAGAAUCUUGGUUGCCAGCCCAAUCGACAUCGGAAUAAGCUCGAAGAUCAAGAGGUGGAGUGACAUCUGAAUAAGCUUGAAGAUGGAGAUGUUGUUUUCGUCGGAAAGUGAGACCAAGAUGUAUUGUAUGUUUGAGGUAACGGAGCAACCUCUUAGAUGUAGUCCAAUGAGUUUGAGUUGGGGCAUGCAUGAAUUGGGCAAGUUUGUUGACGGCGAAAGCAAUAUCAGGACGAGUGAACUGGAGAUAUUGAAGUCCACCAACCAAGCUCCGAAAUUGAGUAGCAUUAGCUAGAGGAGAACCAUCAUUGAGAGUUAGAUGGCCAAUUGAAGACAUUGGGGUGGAAGAAUCCUUUAUGCCUUCCAAAUGAAACUUUGCCAACAAGUCACAAACAUAUUUAUGUUGAGAUAAAAACAUGCCAUCAGAAGUGGAAAUGACCUCAACUCCCAAAAAGUAGCUCAAAGGACCAAGAUCCUUUAGGGAAAAACGAUGAGCAAGAGCAUCAACGAACUUCCAAAUGGACUGAGAACAAUUUCCUGUUACAAGUAAAUCAUCCACAUAUACUAGAAAAUAAAUUGUGACUGACCAACAUUGAUAGAUGAAUAAUGAAGUAUUAGAUUUAGAAUUGACAAACCCAAAGUUGAAGAGAAAUGUCUUUAACUCUGUGUACCAAGCUCGAGAGGUUUGUUUCAAACCAUAAAAAGCCUUUUGCAAGCGGCAAACAUGAGUAGGAUUAUCCUGAUCAACAUACCCAAGUGGUUGAGCCAUGUAAACAUCCUCAGUUAAAUUUCCAUGAAAAAAAACAUUAUUAACAUCAAGCUGUGAAAUAGGCCAACCGUUACUCAAGGCAAUGGAUAGAACAACUCGAAUGGUGGUUGGCCUAACAACUGGGCUAAAAGUGUCAUGAUAAUCAACCCCAGGGCAUUGAUGGAAUCCUUUGGCAACCAAACAAACUUCGUAUCAAGAAAUAGAACCAUCCGGAUUUCGUUUGACACGAAACACCCAUUUACACCCCACAAUGUUAUGGUUGGAAGGAGGAGGUACAAGAACUCGUGUACGGUUGCGAGCAAGAGCAUCAAGCUCAUCAUCCAUGGCAGCACACCAAUUGGGAUCUCGAAGAGCUUGAGAGGCAGUGGUAGGCUCAAGGGACGCAGGAAGAGGAUGUUUGGUGACAUGAAAACUUGUCUUAAAGCUAGGAAACUGUUUGGGACAACGAAUAUUAUUUUGAGAAUGGGUUACAAUUCGAUGAGAUGGCUCGGGCGGAGGAUUGGACCCUUAGGUUUAGACAGGUGGUGACAAGGACAAAGAUGGAGAGGAAAGGAAGAGAUCAUACCUUGGAGUAGCAUCACACACCGAGAGAGAAGAUGAAGUCGUAGUAGGUGGACUGGAACUAGCAGGAGAACGUGAUGAGAGCAGCUCCUGAUUAGGCCGUGUGGUAGUGGAAGAAGGUCUUUGGUGCGGGAAAGAUUUGGAGGGAGUGGGAACCACAAAAAAGAAGGUUGGAUAGCAGCAAGAGCUGGAGAACACGAAGACCAAGUGGAGACAACUUGGUCAAGAUCUGUAGGCGAAGUAUUUGAGGCAAGAGGAAAUUGAUGUUCUUUUUACUUGUUAUGGUUACCAUUGUUGUUGAACUUUCUUCCUUGGUGAUUACGGUUUUUAAAGAAUCUCUUCCCAUUAUAACUUUGUUCAUUGCCAUAUCGAGGUUGGGUGUUGCCAAGACUUGUGCGAGUCUUAUUCACAAUGACAUUUGAACCACCACGCGACUCUUCUCUUUUCAAGAAAGCUUCAUGUUCUACCAACUUGUCAUGAAGUUCUUCAAAUGAACAGGAGUGUCUCGAGCUCUUAUUGCAGUAGAAAUAUCCUUAAAGCCACUACCAAGGCCAUUGAGAGCAAAAAUAGUCAGAUCAUCAUCACUUAAAUGAGUGUCAAUGAGAUCUAGCUCAUCAGUAAUUCCUUUGAUGGUUUGAAGAUACUCUGCAACAGAAUGAGUAUUGCAAGUGAUGUUGGUAAGCUUCUCCUUGAGAUUCAUUACUCGUGAUCUGGAUUUGUUAGCAUAAAGCUUGUGAAGCUUUACCCAAGCAUCACGAGAAGAAGUAGCAGCAGCAAUCAAAGGCACAACUCCUUCUAAAAGAGAUGCAAAGAUUGUGUGAAGGAGCAAUUUGUCUUGCCUAGUCCAAAUAGCAAAAUUUGGAUUUGGAACAGUUGUUCCAUUUUUAGCAAUAAUUUCCUUGGAUGGGCAUGUCUUAGUCCCAUCAAGAAAUCCCAUGAGGUCAUAACCAUAUAAUAGGGUGUCAAAUUGUGCUUUCCAAUAGGGAAAGUUGUUGCUAUUCAAUUUGAUGGGUAGUUAGGCAUUUGCAUUCAUGGAGAUAAUUCCAUCAAAGCAAGAAGUAGAAGAGAUGAAUCAUACAUUGGUUCUGUUGGUUGUGUUUUCGGCCAUGGUGCAGGAUAUUUGCAAAGAGAGGUUUUGAAUCAAGAAAAAAAAAACUCGUUAGAGUCUUUACUGCUCUGAUACCAUGAAAGAUAUUAAGAGGAGUAAUUGUUGAAUUAUUGAUAUGUGUUGAUUAAACACGUUGAAUGAGGUUUAUAUAUCAUAAACAUCCCAAACGGUUACAAAAAAUAUCCCACAAAACGUGGUCAAGUCAGUUACAAUGAAAACAAACAUUUGAAUACAUCAGAAAUAAUAUGUUACAAUAGAAAACUAACAGCUAAAGAAUAGCUCCUAUGAUUGGGCUUCAAUAAGAAUCCACAAUCUCAUAAGAUGUUAAAGUAGUCAUAAAAUGAGAAAAAUAAGCAAGAGAAUCAAAAACCAAAAUUUCAAUUUUUGCAUAAAAACCACUUGCAUAAAAACCACUUGCAUCAUCCAAAAAAGGUUCAAUGCGGACAAGUUCAAACUUAGAGACAUUAUAAAACUAGUAGGAAUAGGAAAGGUAUAUGUUCAAAGAAGUAGUAGAAGACAUAAGACUAAAACUAUCAAGAAAAAAAAAGAAGUCGACACAAAACUAAACUAUCAAAGAUAAAAGUUGAUAUGAAACUAUCAAGAAAAAAAGGCAAAAAAAGACAUGAAAUCAUAGAAGUAAGAGAGAUAAACAAAAUUUGGAUUCAUAUUCAACAAAUAAAAACUGAAAAAUUUGAAUUCAUAUCCAACAAACAAAAACAGAUAAAAUUUGGAUUCAUAUCCAACAAACAAAAUUUAGAUUCAUAUCUAACAAACAAAUAGAGGAAAUACUAAAUUAGAUUGCAUGUACAAUUUUUCCAAAUGUUUUCAGAUCUUUUUGGUAGUUUAUACUUCAUCAACUAUAUAUCUAUCGAAUUAUUAAUAGAGCUGUUGAUCCAAAUAAUAAUUUUCAAAUUUCUUGUUUUCCAAACAUCUAACUCUUCUACAUAUAUUUUAUCUUUUCAUUUAUAAGUUUGCAUAGAGUACCAAUAAUAUAACCUUAUAUAUUUUUGCCAUUUAUUAAAUUAUUUAUCACAUAACUUUAAUAGGAAUAAAUUUUUCCAUCCAAUAUCACACCAAUAGAUUGAAAGGUAGUUACCAAACAAAAGAAAGUAGAUAUGAAGAAGAAAAAAAACGAAUAUAAAAUCAAAUAAUGAGAUUAAACAAAAAAAGAAUGAUAUAGUCACCCACUAUGAUAUCCCAUAAUCAAACAUGAUAAAAAAGAAUUUCAUAAUCAAAUAGAAACGAAAGCGUUGUAUGAGAUUAAUCUCUUUUUAGAUCAUAAAUAAAAAAUCUCAUUAAAGAUGCAAAAAUGUGGCUCAAAUCCACAACCUCCGGUUGAACCAAGCUCUGAUACCAUGCUAAAAUCCAAAAAAAAUCAAAGAGAAAAAUAGAAAAUACAUCAUUGAAAUUUAAAUAGAUUUAAUGAAGGAAAUAAAGACUAAUUUACCCUUACUUUUAAAAAGAAAAAAAUAAUUAUAAUAUAGUAACUAACUAAAUAAAUAAAUAUAUAGUAAGUAAAUAUAUUAAUAUCUUCUAAUUUUUUUUAUUGUUUUUCCUUUCUUAUUAAUUUUCAUUGCAUUUUCUUUCUAAACUUCUUAAACCAAACACAACAAAAUCCCCAACCUUGCAUAAAAUAAAUACUCCCCUUGAUGGGACGAGUUUAAAAUUUAAAUAAACAAAUUAGAAGUUUGAAUUUUUUUUUAAAACUUGGGACAUGUUAGGUUGGGUUUUGGUAUUGUCUUAUCCCGUUGUAUCCCACCUUGAUUACAUAUAAAGUUAAUUUUAAAAAAUAAAAUAAAUUAAUUUAUUUUUUAUUAUUAAUAAUAUAAUAAUAACAACAACAACAACAACGUGCUUUUCAAUAAAAUAAGUCAUAAAAUUAUGAUAUUUUAAUUAUUUAUAAAAUGUAUUUAUUUUAAUGUAUUUAAUAAUAAAAAUAAAAUAAUUCAAAAAAAAAAAUUGAACAAGGCAAGAUGAGUGUGGAAAAUUUGCAUACCCAUCUCGUCCCUUUUCCACUCGUUGAAUUUUUUUAAUGGAACAACUAUGAUGGGUUAUUUUGAAUAAAUGAGACAAGAUUGAGAUGAGAAUGAUCCGUCCCAAACCUACCCUGUUGUUAUCCGUAUGCACGUGGGUACGUCAUCACAUGAACGCAAAUAACACAUAUUUAACCCUUAUUUUCAUAAUUGAAAAUUAUUAACAUUAGAAAGUCUAUCAUUUAAACAAAAUAUAGGAGAUUAUAUGUUUGGUUUUAGAAAAUUAUUAAAGAAAAAAAUUAGAUAAAUAGUUUUUUCAUAUUUUGUUUCACUAUAAAAAAUAUAGGAAAGAAAAAUCAAGUAUAAUUAUAAUUAGUUAGGAAUAUAUACAUUUUAAUAUUAUUUAAUAUUUAUAUGAUCUAUAAUAAUAAGUGAUUUAAAUUUAAAGAAAUAUAUAAAAAUAUUUUAUUGAUUUUAAAUCUAAAUUUUCUUUUUACUUUCCUCUUUAUUUUCUUUCUCUUUUUUUUUCUUAUAUUUUUAUCACAUUUUUCGGAAGCAAACAUAACGUGAAAUAAUUUCUUUAAGUCACUCAAUUGUCGGGAUAAAUUUUAAAAUAUUGUAUUAAAAGGCCGAUUUCGGCCAUGAGAAUUUGUGUAGGAGUUGAUUAUUUGAUUUCCCUCUAUUCUUUUAGGGCUUACACAAAAAAAAUAAAAAAUAAAAAUAGAAAUAAAAAUCUUUCGCACAACCAAAUGGUUAUGGGACGGAGAAUUCUAGGUGGCCAUCAUUUAAAAAAAAAUAAAAAAAUUCUGUCCUAUUCGACAACGAGAAAUUGACAAAACUAUCACCAGUUUAGGCGGCAGAAAUGUAUAGACAAGUCCAAGUCCUGGCUGCAUUUCGGGGAAAGAACAUUAUUCACAGCGUCUCCAACAUGACCAAUACCAAAGACCAAGACAAAGACCAUUUCAGUGGAGGAGGUGAAGCGAGUGGAGUAUUGAAACCUAACUACUUUGAGGUGGCUUUUGCAAGUCGGAAACCGCCCAAUUACCACAAACCUACCAAAUACAGAUGUAUGUGACGCCCACAGCAAAUAAUAUUGAAAGUUGAAACCAUCUUCUCUUAGCUUCUUUUGUUUUGAAAAGAACACCAACACCCAGGUUCCACCACCUGUCCUAUUGCUGCCUAUUUUAUUUUUAUCUACAAAACACACCCUCUCUUCCCUCACCCUUUUGACUCUUCUCCGUCCCCUCCUAUUUUCUUUUCUUUUUUUAAUUUUAAGUUUGAUCAAACUCUUAAGGCCGCGUUUGGGAGGGUAAGCGGUUUGGGAGAAAUUGCAUCUUUUUGGGUGUUUGGCAUCAUUGUAUGGCAUAUGAAAGGAUAUGAGAAGAUAUGAGGGUAGAGUGGUAGAGUAGUAGGAGGAGGUAGCUUUUGCUGCUUUUGGAUGGGAAAAUAGAAAUUCUGGAACACGCAUCAGUAAAUGUACAAGUCUAGUAAUAAAUACCACAUUAACUUCAGAUUCACGCUCCGCUUACGCUGCAUUACUCUUCUCUCACCUUCUCCUUCUCCUCUUGGUCCCACAAUUGUCCUCACCAUCAUCCUUCCUUCCUCAUCUCGCGCCGCUCUUCUUCUUAACUCGCAAGAAGAAUUGUUCUGUAUGUCCGUACCAACCAUUUCUCUCGAUAAAAUAAUAGAAAAAGGUGAAAAAAAACUCUCAACCUUCUAAGAAAAAGGAAAAAGACAAAAAUUCUACAGACCACUUCACAUAGAGUUUCUUAUCACAAGAAAUAUAUCAGACUGAGAGAAAGGUUUUACAGAGAAGAGAGUUGAUCACAAACGGUGCAUGUAGCAAUGAAGCAUGUACCUAUGGACAGGGCGCAGAUUCCGAGGAUCAGACAGCAGAGGUGGCGACGUUGGGGACCUGAGUGGGCGAGAAGGCCAGGAGCAUGAGGACAGCCAUGAUCACCACCGGAACGAAGAGAAGGAGCAACGGCGGAGGAGGCAGCGGCGGCAAAACUAAGGGCAGAAGCAACAUAGAAAGAGUGAGAAACACCAUAACCAUAAUCGAUCUCGCACUGAAGAACCUGACCAUCAAACUCUGCAACAACUGUGUAUACGAAUGGUCUUCUCUCGAUCUAAUAGCUGCCAAGGAUUGAGGCCAUGCAUCAUCGUCGCGAACACGCCUCAGAUCUCGGCGAAAUGGACGAUCACUGAUGAGGAGCCGGAGAAAGAAAGAAAUAGAGGAAAAUGUGAGAUGGUGAAAGAAGCAGAGAGGGUUUGUAUUUAUAUUUAUAAAGAGAGAGAAAGAGAGAGAGUGCGAAGAGAGAGAAUGUUGAAAGGGACUUGAGAUAGGAAGAAGAAUUGGGAACAGACUAGAGAGAGGGGAGAGGAAGGGAUAUUAAAAAAAGUGAGAAAAGGAGGAUGUGGGUUGCCGUUACCGAUUCAAGUCGCUACCGGUCAUCUUCAAUGCCCGGGACCCAACCAACCAUAACGUACAUUGUACAUCCAUUCUUACUUGUUACUUUACUCGAUUCAUUUCAUUUGGGCACUGCCCCACCUCC